GCGGGGCGGGUUUUGCCGAACCGAUGCGGGUCUAACAGUGUUAUGUGAGUUCAUUGUUUGGAUUUGAUUUUCUGUUCUAACCUCUAAUUUUUUCCGUUGGGUUUUUCUGGGUUCUUUACACAACAAUUUGAUGCACUAUGGUUGUUUGUUUUACUCCUCAGUCCUCAGUCAAAACAUUUGUAAUUUCGAGGUGGGUUGUAUUUGGGUAAUUGUGAUUUUGGAAUAGUUGCGUUGAAUUUGGAUACUUGUGAUUUUGGUGGAUGGAAUUAUGCUGUGAAUUCGACAAAAAGGUCUGUUUGGGAAUUGGAAAUUGG
rnacentral:lncRNA from 1 species